UAGGGAAUCUUCCGCAAUGGACGCAAGUCUGACGGAGCAACGCCGCGUGCGUGAAGAAGGAUUUCGGUUCGUAAAACUCUGUUGUUAGAGAAGAACAGCGCAUAGAGUAACUGUUAUGCGUGUGACGGUAUCUAACCAGAAAGCCACGGCUAACUACGUGCCAGCAGGCGCGGUAAUACGUAGGUGGCAAGCGUUGUCCGGAUUUAUUGGGCGUAAAGCGAGCGCAGGCGGUCAAUUAAGUCUGAUGUGAAAGCCCCCGGAUCAACCGGGGAGGGUCAUUGGAAACUGGUUGACUUGAGUGCAGAAGAGGAGAGUGGAAUUGCAUGUGUAGCGGUGAAAUGCGUAGAUAUAUGGAGGAACACCAGUGGCGAAGGCGACUCGCUGGUCUGUAACUGACGCUGAGGCUCGAAAGCGUGGGUAGCAAACAGG
rnacentral:rRNA from 1 species